GUUUGAGGCGUUGAUAAUAGGUUUUUCUACCUAUUGCAAAUGUUGUAGUAUAGGGGGGUGAGUGAAUGUCGAACCAGUCCUAGUGAUGUGAAUCAGUGAGAAUACAAGUCAUUUCUUAAGCUAAGCGGAUUCAAUAGUUGUGAGUGUGUGACAAGUAACAAUAGCAAACAGAGCAAUACAACAAGGUUUUGAUCAAUUUAGACAAGUGAAUCCAUGGGCUAAGGGAAUUGAUUUCAAGUAACUAAAAUCCAAUCUAGGUGACAAGCUUUCAAUCAAAGUAAUCUCUUAAGU
rnacentral:lncRNA from 1 species